UUUUGUUUACAAACUACAAACCCCAUCUCUCACACAACUCUCUCUUCUUUUGCUUGGUGUUCUACAAUUUUUUUGAACGGGGUUAAUGGAGCUUCAUGACGGCGAUGGUCGCCGACCUCCGGAGUGCUUAACGGCAGGAUUAGGCUUUCGCCGCAUGUGGCGGUGAGGAUGCUGUAUUCCAGCAAUGGUGGUGGUUCAAAACGCCAUUAAACAUUCAGGUGAUGUAGGUGAAUAUGUGAGAGAAAGUAAGCUAUUGGAGAGAGAGAGAGAGAGUAGGGAAACGGUUGGUGGUUCACGGCGGAGCUUAGGGUUUCGGCAAUCUUCUCUCUUAUCCGAUCAAGACUCUGGUGAAUCUGAUAAGUUAGCUGAGAUGAAGCAAGAUGUGAAAAUCGCAAAGUUUGGUUCAAUCAUACCGAUUUCUGGAUCGAAUUUUGUUCAUGAGGUGUCACAAGCUUCAUCAGAUGUGUGGGUGGUUGUUGUGUUAUACAAAGAUGGGUAUCCUGAAUGUGGUGUUCUAAUGCAAUGUGUGAAAGAACUGGCAACAGUGUAUCCAGCAACAAAGUUUGUUCAAAUCUUGUCGACGGAUUGCAUUCCUAAUUAUCCGGAUUGUAAUCUUCCCACUGUGUUAGUUUAAAGCUCGAUUGCACUUAGGUACGACCAUUAUUUUCUACUUCAAUUGUUGUUCACAGUUUUUCUACCUUUGGUUUCGGCCAUUAUUUCGGAUCAAAUUCUUUAAAUCGAUAAAUGAAAUGCAAUAUUGUAAAUGGCCUUUUUGUAGGAUAAUUAGACUCACUGUUCACUUUGUAUGUUUUGAUGCUGAACGUAGCUUUCCUGAUGUUGUAGGUUCAUCCUUGAAGAACAUGUGUGCUUUCCUCAUUUCUUUUGUUGUUUGUUGUUCGCUUAGUUUAGUUAGGAUGAAAUUAUUUUUUUAAUAUGUCUUACCGUUCCAGACACUGAUACAGCCACCAAAUUGAAUUUCAUGUUCAAUCCAAUCACUUAUUUUCAAAUUGGGGAUUUCUUCAAUCACAAAAUAGAUGACUACUAAAAGGAGAAGGAAGGUUCGAUGUCGUGAAUGAAACCUCUGAGACUGCCGAAAUUAACAAAGCCAACGGCAUGGCCGCACUCACGGCAUCAGCAAGUGUCUUCUCUUUGAUGAAUAUGUUUGGGAUCUGCAUUUUAAAGCAUGGGCUCUACAGUUGAUAAGUCGUCGAACCAAACGUUACAAAUUUUACUAACAAUUAAUGUUUGUUGUCAUUUUAUUUGUACACGUGUCUAAUGAGCUUAAUUAUUCAGCUUUUUUCAGAAAUCACCUAUUGCAAUACAAUCGGCGCAUGGAGGAUGACGAUCUAUGUAGAAGAAAUGCGGAAGAGGAAGAAGCAAAGCGAGCUGAACUUAAAGAUUUUGGUUUUUUAAAUAUAUGAACUUAAAGAAACGCCAAUGGUAGGUUUAUUUUGGUUUAUUAAAUAUAAAGUUUCAAGCACAUUAAUAUAAAGUUUCAUUGUAGUUAUAGUUGUUACUCGGAUUUAGAUGAGAAACGAAGUAUGAUAAGGUUAAUCGUA